GACGAACGCUGGCGGCGUGCUUAACACAUGCAAGUCGAACGGAAAGGCCCUGCUUGCAGGGUGCUCGAGUGGCGAACGGGUGAGUAACACGUGGGUGAUCUGCCCCUUACUUUGGGAUAAGCCUGGGAAACUGGGUCUAAUACUGGAUAGGACCAUGCUGUAGGUGGUGUGGUGGAAAGAUUAGUUUCGGUAAGGGAUGAGCUCGCGGCCUAUCAGCUUGUUGGUGGGGUAAUGGCCUACCAAGGCGUCGACGGGUAGCCGGCCUGAGAGGGUGGACGGCCACAUUGGGACUGAGAUACGGCCCAGACCCCUACGGGAGGCAGCAGUGGGGAAUAUUGCACAAUGGGCGCAAGCCUGAUGCAGCGACGCCGCGUGGGGGAUGACGGCCUUCGGGUUGUAAACUCCUUUCAGCCAUGACGAAGCCCUUGUGGUGACGGUAGUGGUAGAAGAAGCACCGGCUAACUACGUG
rnacentral:rRNA from 1 species